UACGGAGGGAGCUAGCGUUGUUCGGAAUUACUGGGCGUAAAGCGCACGUAGGCGGCUUUGUAAGUUAGAGGUGAAAGCCUGGGGCUCAACCCCAGAAUUGCCUUUAAGACUGCAUCGCUUGAAUCCAGGAGAGGUGAGUGGAAUUCCGAGUGUAGAGGUGAAAUUCGUAGAUAUUGGGAAGAACACCGGUGGCGAAGGCGGCUCACUGGCUCGUAUCUGACGCUCAGGCGCGGACAGCGUGGGGAUCAAACAGG
rnacentral:rRNA from 1 species